rnacentral:tRNA from 2 species
GCCGAAGUGGCGAAAUCGGUAGACGCAGUUGAUUCAAAAUCAACCGCCUUCUGGGCAUGCCGGUUCGAUUCCGGCCUUCGGCACCA